AAAAAAGUUUUCAAAAUGUCGUAACGAUUUAAUUUUUUAAAUCGUUUUUUUUUUGUCUUGGUAAAGUUUAUUAUUAAAAAUCAGCAUGCCUCGAAGAUCGAAAAUGAAAUGCUAUUUCGGAUGCCUUGAUAACGACAAAGGUUUGAUAAUGACAAAAUUUUAUGGAAAAAUUAUAAGGAGCACUAAAAUGUCUGAAACAUGAAAAGAUUGAUGCACUAUAUUUGAACCAGAACGUGUUAUGUAAUAUAUUAAUUUAAGAGAAACUGAUUCAGCAAGGAACGUGAACUCUCAAGGGAUCUUAAUUUUUUUUAAAUAUGUUUAUAAUUUAUAAAUUAAUAAUUGAAAUAGUUCAUAACAACUAAAUUGAUGCCAAUUUUGUUUUAAAAUAGGUUGUUUAGUUCUUAUAGUUAUAGUAUUACGUUUGAAUAGUUGUAAUUAGUAAGUUAGUAAUAUAUGAAAAUACUGAUAUAAAUUUUUGUAAAUAACUUUUUGUAAAUUCUACGAGAAGAUGAUUUUAAUUAAUGAUCAAAAGUCAACGGUCUUCAAAAGCAUUAUUUGCAAUUAUUUAGAUUAACUGUGGAAUAUAUUUGCUAAGUUGUGUUUUCUGUAUGAGCAGAUAUAAAUGAAAAUGCCCAAACAUGA